rnacentral:rRNA from 1 species
UGAGGAAUAUUGGGCAAUGCCCGCAAGCCUGACCCAGCAACGCCGCGUGAGGGAUGAAGUAUUUCGGUAUGUAAACCUCGAAAGAAUGGGAAGAAUAAAUGACGGUACCAUUUAUAAGCUCCGGCUAACUACGUGCCAGCAGCCGCGGUAAUACGUAGGGAGCAAGCGUUGUUCGGAUCUACUGGGCGUAAAGGGCGCGUAGGCGGCGCGGUAAGUCACUUGUGAAAUCUCUGAGCUUAACUCAGAACGGCCAAGUGAUACUGCUGUGCUAGAGUGCGGAAGAGGCAACCGGAAUUCUUGGUGUAGCGGUGAAAUGCGUAGAUAUCAAGAGGAACACCUGAGGCGAAGGCGGGUUGCUGGGCCGACACUGACGCUGAUGCGCGAAAGCCAGGGGAGCAAACG